rnacentral:rRNA from 1 species
GACGAACGCUGGCGGCGUGCCUAAUACAUGCAAGUAGAACGGUGAAGAGAGGAGCUUGCUCUUUUUGGAUGAGUUGCGAACGGGUGAGUAACGCGUAGGUAACCCGCCUUGUUGUGGGGGAAAACCAGUGGAAACGAUAGCUAAUACCGCAGAACAAUGGAUUGCACAUGGCGUUUUGUUGAAAGGGGCCAUUGCUCCACUACCAGAUGGACCUUCGUUGUAUUAGCUAGUAGGUGAGGUAAUGGCUCACCUAGGCGACGAUACAUAGCCGACCUGAGAGGGUGAUCGGCCACACUGGGACUGAGACACGGCCCAGACUCCUACGGGAGGCAGCAGUAGGGAAUCUUCGGCAAUGGGGGCAACCCUGACCGAGCAACGCCGCGUGAGUGAAGAAGGUUUUCGGAUCGGAAAGCUCUGUUGUAAGUCAAGAACGGGUGUGAGAGUGGAAAGUUCACACUGUGACGGUAGCUUACCAGAAAGGGACGGCUAACUACGUG